rnacentral:rRNA from 1 species
GGGGGGAUAACAUUUCGGAAACGGGUGCUAAUACCGUAUAAUAUCUUCUUCCGCAUGGAAGAAGAUUGAAAGACGGCUCUGCUGUCACUUAUUGAUGACCUUGCGGUGCAUUAGUUAGUUGGUGGGGUAACGGCCUACCAAGACGAUGAUGCAUAGCCGACCUGAGAGGGUGAUCGGCCACAUUGGGACUGACACACGGCCCAAACUCCUACGGGAGGCAGCAGUAGGGAAUCUUCCGCAAUGGGCGAAAGCCUGACGGAGCAAUGCCGCGUGAGUGAAGAAGGCCUUCGGGUCGUAAAACUCUGUUAUAAGAGAAGAACAAAUUGUAGAGUAACUGCUACAGUCUUGACGGUAUCUUAUCAGAAAGCCACGGCUAACUACGUGCCAGCAGCCGCGGUAAUACGUAGGUGGC